CCAAGCAAUAGAGGUUGCAAUGUUUACAAAUCCCCCUGAGUCGCCAACGACUGUGAUGGGGUGCUCAAGAAACAUUGCCGAAAUGGCUAGCUGUGUUGGAUGCAGCUGACUGUUGGGCCAUGAGUGAAUAAUUCAUGGACUGUCUCGUUAGAAAUAACGAGGAGCGCUAUUUUGGAU
rnacentral:ncRNA from 2 species